rnacentral:snRNA from 17 species
AUACUUACCUUGUCUGGCACCGACCCGAUCAAUAAGGGGACGGUGCAGGUUGGGAGACCUGCAUUGCACGUCGCGGAGUUGACCAGUCUGGUUUGUCCUUCGGGGCCAACCUGGGCGGAAUUUUUGAUAUUUUCUUUCAUUGUGAUCUC